CCUAGGGGAGGCUGCAGUGGGGAAUAUUGGACAAUGGGCGAAAGCCUGAUCCAGCCAUGCCGCGUGUGUGAAGAAGGCCUUCGGGUUGUAAAGCACUUUCAGUGGGGAAGAAAGCCUUGGGGCUAAUACCCUCGAGGAAGGACAUCACCCACAGAAGAAGCACCGGCUAACUCCGUGCCAGCAGCCGCGGUAAUACGGAGGGUGCGAGCGUUAAUCGGAAUUACUGGGCGUAAAGCGCGCGUAGGCGGUCUGAUAAGCCGGUUGUGAAAGCCCCGGGCUCAACCUGGGAACGGCAUCCGGAACUGUCAGGCUAGAGUGCAGGAGAGGAAGGUAGAAUUCCCGGUGUAGCGGUGAAAUGCGUAGAGAUCGGGAGGAAUACCAGUGGCGAAGGCGGCCUUCUGGACUGACACUGACGCUGAGGUGCGAAAGCGUGGGUAGCAAACAGGAUUAGAUACCCCAGUAGUC
rnacentral:rRNA from 1 species